UUGAUCACAAUGUAGUUACCGCUAAGUAGUUUUCAGUGACCAAUCACCACGUCACAAGAUCCUCAGACGAUUCAACUGGAUAUUUGCUCCGGAGGAAACAAACACGCCGAUGGCACAUCCAGUAUGCCGAUGCGGAUGUUAACUGGACCUGUUAACUGCAAGAAUGAAGACAAAUCCAAAGGAUAACAUUUUCUUUGCACGGACGGGGAGUUAAAACACCAUAACAGCAGAAACUUGGGAAUCUCCAAAACUGGAAGGAACGACGGAAUUUCCACUGCAGACGACUGAUGGU